UGAGGGGUCGUGUAAGGUUUUUGGAAUGUGAAAUUCAAGAUUCUAAUAAAUAUAUAAAUAAAUACAUAAAAAAUUUAAAUCAAUUUUUUAAAAAAGUUUCAAACAUAAUUUUCAAUUUUCAAAAAGAAAAUUUGAAAAAAAUAUCAAAAAAAAAUUUAUAAGGAAGUUCAAAUUUGAAAAAGUAUAAAUCGUAAACAUGAUUUUUUUAAUUUAAAUAAUUGUUUAUUAUAUAUAUAUAUAUAUAAAAUAAGAGUAUAAUAGUCUUUUACCACUUAAUGAAAAAUGUACUCGAAAAUCUUCCUUUAGUGGUGGUAAAGAUGAAUAAUGGUAUUAUGAAAGUGGUAAACAUGAAAUUCUCCCUUGUAACUAUAUAUUAUCUUUUUUUAUUUAUUUUGAAACUCUCAACAUUAUAUUGUUUAAAAAUGUUUAUA
rnacentral:lncRNA from 1 species